GUAUUCCAUACGUAAUACAUAUACUAAACUUGGAACGAUACAGAGAAGAUUAGCAUGGCCCCUGCGCAAAGGGGCCAUGCUAAUCUUCUCUGCGAUUACUUUAUUG
rnacentral:snRNA from 1 species